UCUGACACAGGUGCUGCAUGGCUGUCGUCAGCUCGUGUCGUGAGAUGUUGGGUUAAGUCCCGUAACGAGCGCAACCCUUGUCCUUAGUUACCAGCACGUUAUGGUGGGCACUCUAAGGAGACUGCCGGUGACAAACCGGAGGAAGGUGGGGAGUGACGUCAAGUCAUCAUGGCCCUUACGGCCUGGGCUACACACGUGCUACAAUGGUCGGUACAAAGGGUUGCCAAGCCGCGAGGUGGAGCUAAUCCCAUAAAACCGAUCGUAGUCCGGAUCGCAGUCUGCAACUCGACUGCGUGAAGUCGGAAUCGCUAGUAAUCGUGAAUCAGAAUGUCACGGUGAAUACGUUCCCGGGCCUU
rnacentral:rRNA from 1 species